CAGACAUUACUUAGUUUAUUUUUCUCUGGAUUUUUGGGUAAAUAAAAAAACCCAGUUUCUUUAUUCCCCCAAAAAAUACUGUUUUUUUUUAAUUUACCCCAAAGUACAAAGAGAACAUUAUAAACCAGAAUUCUCUACUAAAAAACUUGGCCUAUAAAAGAGGUCAACAGAAAAUACCUCAAAUGAACUUAACAGGUGUUAACUCAACAAAAUGAUCUGCUAUAAUGACAGACCAAGGAACCUAUAUAGUGGCUCGGCCAAACCAAGUAGAAACCAAGGGGCAAUUAAGAUUGGCAGCAUACACAAAGGACACUGACAAAACCCAAAUCCCCCUUUGACAUGGAAGCCGGUGGUUUGUCUCAAUCCGUCCCAAUUGGCUGCUUGCAGUAUUUAUAAGUCCUCAGCCACACCUUUUGCUGAACCAGGAAGUAACCUCCUCCAACGAACACGGUAACUCCAAGACAAAGAAAGUAAUUAAUACAAACAAAUACUUAUGUUAGCUGUGUCAGAUUACAAUCAACUAAAGAGUUUACCUUCGAAUCAAAUGUGUGUUAAGUGGCAUGUUUUACUGCAGCUGAAGUGAAUCUACUGAAGACAAGACAGUGAAUAAUCAUGGCUGCCUUUUUAUAACCACAAAGAAAUACUUCCAAUUCUAUCAUUUUUACGGAGAAAUACUACAUUCAACAUUUUGUUUUCAGGGAAGUGUGUAUUCUGUUUAAGGUUGGAAAGUGAUUAUGCUUUUGCAAAAUAAAAGUCUGUAAAUGUUGCCAAUGAUCGAUUCUCAAAGUCCCUCCUCUACUCCCAUUUGUUGCCAACGGAGUAGCUCCAGGCUACAUUUGGCACCAUGCUUUUUAUUUUCUGGUUUUUCUACAUUAGUGUGACUAAUUUUGUAUGCCACAAAUACUAAUGAGGUGGUUGAUGUAUGAUUGUGAACUAAUUACUGUAAUCAUUAAACUAAACUUUAAAGCUCUGA